CAGAGAAGCUUGCUUCUCUUGAGAGCGGCGGACGGGUGAGUAAAGCCUAGGAAUCUGCCUGAUAGUGGGGGAUAACGUUCGGAAACGGACGCUAAUACCGCAUACGUCCUACGGGAGAAAGCAGGGGACCUUCGGGCCUUGCGCUAUCAGAUGAGCCUAGGUCGGAUUAGCUAGUUGGUGAGGUAAUGGCUCACCAAGGCGACGAUCCGUAACUGGUCUGAGAGGAUGAUCAGUCACACUGGAACUGAGACACGGUCCAGACUCCUACGGGAGGCAGCAGUGGGGAAUAUUGGACAAUGGGCGAAAGCCUGAUCCAGCCAUGCCGCGUGUGUGAAGAAGGUCUUCGGAUUGUAAAGCACUUUAAGUUGGGAGGAAGGGCAUUAACCUAAUACGUUAGUGUUUUGACGUUACCGACAGAAUAAGCACCGGCUAACUCUGUGCCAGCAGCCGCGGUAAUACAGAG
rnacentral:rRNA from 1 species